CACACACACACACAAACACACAGGGACAGACCGGCCGCGUGUCCGUACUCACACUCGGGGCAGCUGCAGCGGCGGCGCCCCCCGGCGCUGGAACACUCCGUCGACGAAGACGCCGUUCUUGCCCAGGCAGCGCAGGUAUAAACAGAAUCCCAAAGCCAUUUACAGAAAUUUUAAGGAUAGCAUUUAAAUUCAAUCAGUAAUGGAAAGGCUAGCAACAAGAAAAUGCAAAUUCAUAUUUUCUCAUUUUUGCCUUCUUAUUCAUUUUCUGCCUUUUUGGAUCGUUGGAAAGCUCUGAUCAUAUAGAGGAAGGCAGUGUGUGGAGAUGCUGAGAGCAGUGCUUUUGGAUUGGCAAUCCCCUAUGUUGUACCAGCGACUAGCACCAGUUGUGCUCUUUGGCUAUUAUUGUAUACUGGCAGCCUGGUGUUGCAGACGGCACUGAUCCACAGACCACCAUUGAGUCUAGGAACCCUGUGAAGAAGAAACCAGCCUCCCAACCUGCCUCAGUCCUUGGUCUCUAGAUUAGAGAUAUCAAGUGUCAACACAGACUGCAGACAGACUUUAAUUAAUUAAACUUAUUGUGUCCAUUGUAAUCACUAUAACACAAAGAUGCAUGCCUCUGGAUUUCCCUUCUCAUCCAUGCCAAGUUUCAGAUAAUUAGGUUUUACAGUUGUGCAGUGUGCUAGAGACAGACAGACAGACACACAUAUUUUAAAUAGUAUAGGUAUGUAAUUAAUGCAGCAUAGCAUGACCAGGAAAAGUAUACAUAGAAUUGGAAUCCCAAGAUUCACACCUGCUAAUAACCCUUAAUGCCUGAGAUUGCAAUUAUGAAUCUGAAGGGCUUAAAUAGUAUUUUAAACAUUUGUUUUUGUUUACAAUAUUAUACCAUUUUGUUUUAUUACUUGAUAUUUUAUUAUUGUCUGUUAUAUCAUUUACUGUAUGUACUGAGUCCCUUCGGGGAGCGGGAGCAGGAUAUAAAUAAAGAUUAUUGUUAUUAUUCGUAA